rnacentral:rRNA from 12 species
GCUUACGGCCAUACCACCCUGAGCGCACCUGAUCUUGUCUGAUCUCGGAAGCUAAGAAGGGUUGGGCCUGAUUAGUACUUGGAUGGGAGACCGCCUGGGAAUACCAGGUGCUGCAAGCU